ensembl:lncRNA
AUGUUGUCUGUAAUUCUAGCUUUGAAGACCAGCUGUCUUAUCUACCCAAACAAUCAGAUCGCAUGCUCUUGGGAGUCGAAUGAUACUCCUAAUGACACCAAAAGCAAUGCUUCCAUCUGCUUGUCUGAGAUGAGGGAGUGUGUCUUGACGGUCAUGGAAUGCCAACAAGGGGCUGAUAUGGUUGACGCUGGGGUUGGAAAUGUGUCUGCCAAGUUCCAAGUGGAUGAUUUCCACAGUGUGAUCCUGACUGUCAAUGUGUCACACGAUGACACCUGGUGCAACCACACCAGUUAUCACGAAGCGCUAGACAUUAAGCAACUGAGUCCACCCUCCAACGUCACUGCCUGGGUAACAGGGACAGACCUGUUUGUGCAUUGGGAUCACCCGCACAACAUUAUUUCCAAAGCCUUUCGUUGCCUUAACUACCAGCUUGACAUCAAUAACCAGGAGAAAGACUUAACAGGGGCUCAAAAUAUGACUCACAGUGAGAGCGUGGACCCCACACAAUCACACAAUGUGAAGGUGAGGGUAAAGUACAGCGAUGAUUGCAGAGGAUCUACAAACUGGAGCAACUGGAGCAAUACCAUCACAGUGGCACCACUCAAUCAAUCUCUGGAAGUCGCAGGUAUCACUCUGAGAAUCGCAGGAAUCACUCUGGGGAUACCCAUGAUCCUCCUGGCACUAAUGCUGCUUAUCCGACUACAGAGGGAUCGUCUUUUCCCCCCCAUCCCUGGUCCCCCACUGAAGAUUAAACAACUAUUGGAGAGAGACCACCGAUUUCAGUUUGCCCCUCAAGUGCAGUUGUCCAAAUGUGUUGAGGAGAUCACAGUGGUGGAAGAAGCUGAGGAAAUACCUGACAUAUUAACAAAAUUACCCAUUUAAAGACCUAACUAAAGUCCAAUCAUCCUAAACCCCUUGUUUAAGGAUCUAUAAGAAGGAUCUCCAGGGCGGAAGAUGCAGCCAUAAUAGUUUGUUAGGACCUACGCAAUUGUUUCAAAUCUUAAGAAAAAGGUGGAUUAUCAGACUGUAGAAAUCCAUACACCUUUCAUGACAGAUUUAUAAAGUCUGCUGUGCUUCAUAAAUUACCCAUAACAAUUAUUUCCUUCACUUUUAGAUCUCCAUUAAGCUGUAUGGGGGAAAACACAGAAUUACUUAACUAGCCCAAGUUGGAGACAUUAUACAUUUUUUCUUGCUGUCUUUUGAAACAGCAUAUGCCCAUAUCAGUGUGUGCUGUGGGCUGUUUCUAAGCUGUGUAGCUGUUAACAGUGAUUCUAGUGAUACUGGUGGAGAUGGAACAGCUUUACCAGAAACCUUAAUUGAAUCCCAAACUGGGAGUGGGAUGUCAUGAUCAGAAUUAAUCCAGUGGUCAUUAGCUUGUUUCCAGGGAUGGUAUAGGUCCCAGAGUGCUGUGAUCCAGUAACCUUACCAGGUUAAAUACUGUACAAUUUACAGUGUCGUUAAAAGUUCAAAUAUUGGCUAAGAUGAGACCAGAGUUUUUCAAAUCUAUUAAAAACAUGAUUAAUGAAGAAAACUAGAAAAAAUACCUCUUACCUUAGGGAGGAUACAAAUUAUUUAUAAUUGUGGCAGCCUUAUGUUAAUUAUAUAUCACAGAUGGGGGGUUUCAAAUAGGCUACACAUCCAUUAUUGGGACGUAAAUCUCAAAAGCAUUUAUGCAGGUUUGCAUUAUCAAAUAAUUUCAGCAUUAUUUAAUCAGGUAUGUCAGUUGAGAACAAAUCAAUGAAAAAAGGAAACAUCUUAAACCUGAAGAGAGAAAAAAAGAUGUGUGGACUUACUUUUGUGGGAAUUUCCUUGCUGUGUUUGUAGCGUAGACUGGGAACAACUAAAGAAGAGAUGUUGAGUUUCAUUGUUGGGGUAGUAGGGCAGAAUGGAGCAAAAGUAAGAAUUCUUUGUUUUCAAGGUUGCACCUUUUAGCUGGAAAGAUAUUUUAAAUGGAUUUGACAGAAUUUGACAGAAGUGCAUGCUUCACAGGUGAAGUGAUAUUCUUUGGAUCAUCUGAAGUUCUUAAUUUCUCCUCCACAUACAGCUCCGGAAAAUAUUAAGAGACCACUGCACCUUUUUCCUUCCUUUCCAAAACAGUUGACAAGGAAGGUUUUGAGUGAGGAACAGAAUAGUUAAAAUUAAGAGACCACUGCAAAUUGAACGCUUCUGUUCCUCACUCAAAACCUUCCUUUUCAACUUUUUUGGAAAGAACAGAAAAAGGUGCCGUGGUCUCUAAGUUUUCUCCGGAGCUGUAUUUGCCUUCCCAUCAGUUUGAUAAAUACCUUAAUCUUGUUUGUCCAUAACUGUACUGCCUGAUCUCUACACUAUUUAGCAAAUUCUAAACUGGCCUUUCUGUUUUUGCAUCUGAUCAGAGGUUUGUAUCUUGCAGUAUAGCUUUUGUUAUGCUGCUGAAGUCUUCUGUGAACAGUUGAUUGUGACACUUUCACCCCAGCGUUCUGGAGGUUUUUGGUUUCACUGACUCCUUAGGGUUGUUGUUCACAGCUCUGGUCAUUAUCUGUUAUCAACUGCUGUUGCUUUUGUUGUUAUUUGAAAGUGCUGUUAUUCUUUCUUGGUAAAACAUAAGUGUGGAAACAGACAGAAAUAAAAGAUGACUGUCUGUACUCUGCCUCAUAUUCAUCUUUAAAUCAUUAAGAAUCCUUCAGAGUAUUUCAAAUAUAGAAUAUAUUUGAAAAACAUUAGGUGUAUAUGCACUACCGUUCAAAUGUCUGGGGUCACUUAGACAUUUCCUUGAUUAAAAUUAACAUUAAAAUAACAUCAAAUUUAUCAGGGGUUGUAUUCACAAAGCAUCUUAAAGCUAAAAGUAGCUCCUAACUUGCUGAUUUAGGAGUAACUCUUAAAAGGACUCAGAGUAGCCUAUUUCACAAAAUUAUGUGCUGUUCUGUGAAGGGAGUACUACACAUCGCUGUUCGAGAUCUUCAGUGUCUUGGGAAUUUCUUGCAUGGAAUAGCCUUCAUUUCUCAGAACAAGAAUAGACUGGAGAGUUUCAGAAGAACGUUUUUGGUUUCUAGCCAUUUUGAGCCUGUAAUCGAACUCAAAAGCUGAUGCAGAAGAUCCUUAACUAGUAUAAGGAAAGACAGUUUUAUUGCUUCUUUAAACAGCACAACCGUUUUCAGCUGUGCUAACAUAAUUGCAAAAGGGUUUUCUAAUGAUCCAUUUGCCUAUUAAAAUUAAUCCAUAAACUUCAAUCAAUAAACUUGGAUUAGCAAACACAAUGUCAAAAUGGAACACAGAAGUGAUGGCUGCUGAUUUUGGGCCUCUGUACGCCUUUGUAGACAUUCCAUUAAUGUUUCCAGCUACAAUAGUCAUUUGCAAAAUUAACAAUGUCUACACUGUAUUUCUGAUGUUGGUUUGGAGUGUUUAUGAAGGUUUUAUAACAUUAUGUAGUGAACUCCAAAAGUAUUGGGACAGGGCCACAUUCUUUUCUUUCUAUAGUACAGGACUUUAAGUGAAAAAUUAUAAAACUUCUCUAAGGUAAAGACUAGACUGUCUUUCAGGGUGUUUUGUAUUUACAGCUCCGGAAUAAAUUAAGAGACCACUGCACCUCUUUCUUUCCUUUCCAAAAGAGUUUGCAUUUAGAGUCUUUUGUUGGUGUCUGACAAUUUGAAUGCAAAUACCCUCAAAUUAAAACUGACCAUCUGCAUUUUAACCCCAACUUCAUUGUAUCAUUUCAAAUUGAAAGUGCAAAAAAACGUAUGAUGUGUCAGUAUCUAAAUGCUUUGGAAUUUAAAUGAAUGAAAGUAAACAAAACAAUUGAUCUGAUUAUGGUGGCAAUCUGACAAAAUAAAAUUACACUGUUCUGGUCUCAACUCAUAUUCCAUCCUUUUUAAGGAUUAUUCUUCCCCUCUUGCUUAAAGCGUUCAAUAACACAAAAUGGGUGAAAAACCUCUUGGACUUGAUGCCGCAAAAAGUUGAUGGAUGCUACUGCCUAAUAUAAGUUAAGCACAUGAGCUACUAAGCCUAGUGGGCAGACCACAUUGUUGAAAACCCCCCCCAAAUAUGUAUAUAUUUAAUGCAUUGAUUUUUUUUAGCUUUUCUAAGCUACUCUUCAAUGCAUUAUGUUCUAAUAGAGUAGACUUUCACAAGAGGUCCUGCUGCUCCCUGAUAGAUAGUGGGCAUGAAAAGUAAUUGAAUUAAGCUUGACACAAUGUAUGAGAGUACUAAUUAUCUCUGUACGAAGGACACUAGGUAGGAAAUGUGAUGCCCCAUUACUGAUGGGUCCUAUAUAGGGCUUCACGAUAUAUCGUUUCAGGAUCGACAUUGCGAUGCAUCCGCGAUAGUCACAUGGCAGACCGUGUGAUUUAGUAAGGUAAACAUAUAUCAGUCUACAAUAUAUAUAUUUUUUCAAAUGGAAAAUCAGCAUUAUAUCUGUCUGUUACAAGGUAACUCUGAUUUAUGGGUUAUUGGAUACACAGUUUAUUAUUAUUAUUUUAAACAUGGUUCGUUGCUGCAUGUGGUUGACAUGCAGGCUCUGCUUGCGCGUGACGAAAUGAUGAGCAAGGAACAGGCAAAAAAGAAAUGCAUCAUCAAUUACAUGGAAAUAUUUCGGCUACAGACAGGAUGAUGUUGACCAAAAACAGGAACUUUGUCGAGAGUGCCUUGCUAUUGUUGCCACAACACGACCAAUUUGUUUGAUCAUUUAUGGCGGCACCACAAAUCUUCGUAUGACGAGUGCAAAGCAUUUCAGUGCCAUCCAAAGCUAAAAUAUAUUUUGGAUGUGUGAGGUCUUCCCGUCACUCCCGGUCCGAUUCCUCCCUGCCACACUCCGCACCUGCCACCAGUCCACUACCCAGCAUGCAUGAACGCACCCAACACUCCAGAUCCCAAUCACCUGAAUAUUGAACACCUGUGCCCUGUUUACCCCUCUAUAUUACCUGUGCUCUUCCUCCCCUCCAGCGUGAGGUAUUGUUCCCUGUGGACCUGCCAAGCAAUCGAUCGCACGCUCUCAUUACGUUGUUGAUUCCCAGCCUGUUGUGUUCUCUACCCUCUUGUCCCGUCCUCUCUCCUCGUUUAAAGUAUCCUGCGUCUUGACCUGUUCGUCUGCCCCGUCGUGUCUCUCCCUGCCUACCCUCCCUGUGUAGUUACUUGUACGGACUGCCUUCCCGGAUCACCGACCUCUGCCUGCCCCUGGAUAUCCUUACCGUCUCUCCCAGC